UACAGAGGUCCCAAGCGUUGUUCGGAUUCACUGGGCGUAAAGGGUGCGUAGGUGGCCAGGUAAGUUUGGUGUGAAAGCUCGGAGCUUAACUCCGAAAAGUCAUUGAAUACUAUCUGGCUGGAGGGUCGGAGGGGAGACUGGAAUUUACGGUGUAGAGGUGAAAUUCGUAGAUAUUCGCAAGAACACCAGUGGCGAAGGCGGCUCACUGGUCCGGUUCUGACGCUGAGGCGCGAAAGCGUGGGGAGCAAACAGG
rnacentral:rRNA from 1 species